rnacentral:tRNA from 1 species
GGCGCUAUCGUCUAGAUUGGUUUAGGACGCUUGGUUCUCAGCCAAGUAACCUGGGUUCAAAUCCCAGUAGCGCUA